UCGGGUCGCAGCCUGUGUAGUUGUAGGAAGUGUGUGUUCAGUAUAACCUUUACCAGAGAUGGGGGAGAGGCGGGAGCGGAAUGGAGGUCGGUUAUACCCAAGCUUUCCAAAGUGGUGGGCUGAGAAUGGGUUACAGAUUUGAUGGCUCCCGGGGACAGAAGAGUCCCUUGGCUGGUCACCUCUAGAUGCACCUUGUCUAUGCCAGAGGUGGGUUGAAUUGCAUCCCCUUAAAAGACAAGUUUAAGUCCUAACAUCCAUACCUGUGGCUGUGACUUUAUUUGGAAAUAAUGAUCUUUGUGGAGGAGGAUGGGCUGAUGUCCUUAUAAAAGGGAAAUCUGGGCACAGAGAGAGGAGUAUGCUGUGUGAAGAUAGACACACAGAAAAACACGCACACACGGGAAGAAGGCCAGAAGGCUGCGCUGAGAAGGAAAGCUGACAAAAGCAGAUAAAAAACAUAAAAGCCAGGCAGAUGUCCGAGGCUGGAUACACCCCUGGCACGCUUUUGGCUUCCGUAAUCUUGCUUGCUUGCCUCUUGAUCAGCCGACUGCCCAUGUAGCACAACCGGUAAGUGCCCCCUGCCCCCGAUUUUUCUCUUCAGUCCCUGCAAUCCCACCCACCUGUGCAGCUGAUAGAAGUUUCCAAGUACCCGGAAGCUGACCAGGCGUACAAGUAGGCCAGCGCCAGGGCUCGGGGCUCAGCCUCUGGAGGGGACUCCGCUGGGCCGGCACCGGUUCAGGAUAGAGUCUUUUCUGGUUCUCUAAGUGCCUGUCACUUGUCUCUUGCUGUGUGCAAGAGACAAGGGGAGUGGCUGUAGCAGCCUAUGGAGGGAGGCAGAGACUGGAAUGAUGCAGCCACAAGUUGGGGAGCGCUAAGGACUGCCAGAAACACCAGAAACGAGGGGCUGGGCUUGGAACCCAUUCCCUCUCGAAGCCUGUGGAAGAAACUAGUCCUGGGGCAGGCUGACGGCAGACUUUGGGCCCCCAGGCCUGUGAGAGAAUGCACUCCUGUGGCCUGUGGGGCUGGGUCACAGCAGCUCCGGGACGCUGGUACAGACGCCCUAGAGGUCCUUCACCUGAUGGACUGGGAGACUCCUUCCUUUACUGCCCCGGGGACAUUCUCCUCCUUUGCUCAUACCCCAUCUGCGCACCGGCUCAUGCCCCUCUCCCUCAUCCUCCUCACCUCCGUCCCUUUCCUUCCUUCUUUUCCCAAUCCCUUGGCCUCUCAGUCAUCUGCAGGGUAGUGUAGUCCAGUAACGCUGCCCCCGCCCUCGGAGUCACUCAAGUGAUUUAUCAAGGAGACUGAUGAAGAUUCACGCAGGUAACUGUGCAUUUAGCUGUUCUUUAGCAGUUAUUAAAAAAAAGGCUUUAAAAAAUACCGAUUAUUGACUAAUUACAACAUGCAAAUUACAGACAGGAAGUAGGGAUUACCUCCAUUUGCAGGUGGGGACACUGAGUAGUUUAAGCAACUUGUCCAAGAAGGAUCCAGGCUUUAAACCUGAAACUUCCUGACUUCAAAGCUCUUCCUUUAGAUUACCUUACUAACAAACUUCAAAAGACGUAGCCUUGUAAAUAUCUGGAGGGGCUUGCCACAUUUUCCCUAUUCUUCCUAUAAUUUCACCAUUUCAUAAAGAUUUGCUGUUGUAAGUUGGAUAUAUGAUACCUAAAGAAAUUCAGGAUGGUGAUCUAUAUCUUAGUUAUUCUUAAUAGUUUAUUUUUUCACUUAGUAGUAAAAUAAUAAUUAUCAUUUGGUCUGGAGCCUACAAGCCUAUAAAGCAAUUCUGGUAAAUUCAUGGAGUUCCUUGAAUAAUCAGUUUAUUGUGUUAUACCCCGAGCUUUGGUAAAGGACUAUCUCCUUUUUCUUCCCUGGAGUUUGAGCAUAGAAAUAUCCAUAUAUUUUCUUUUAAAUGCUUACAAUAAUAAUUUUCUUUCAAAUGCAGAUCUUGUAUCGCAUGAGAUUCGAGUGUCUUAUAAAAUUCUUAGCCAAAUAAAAUAAUAAAUUACUCAUUUUCUCAAAGUCUUUUCUGCCAGACGGAAUAUCCACUUAGCUUAGGCUUGAACAAAUAAAGUUUUUUAGCUUAAUUACUAAACUGAAUGAAUCUGGGGUGAGGAAAAACCCAUCUUUCACUCAAGCAAACUCGAGGCUGAUGUUAUGAAAAUGCCCUCGGUCUCCCGUCUCCAAAGCCAGUAAAAACAGUCUUCUGCCUUCCUGCUCCCGGGCACUUGAAUCACUGACCGUCACUGAUGUGCGCACAGACACAAACAGCACUGAACUGGGUCCAGUGAGCCUUCCUUACACACAUGUCCCGCCUGACGGGAUAGAUCAGCAACCUCAAGGGCUUGGAUGGAGUCCAAGUGCCCUUACCCAAGCGAAACAUGUAGAAGACAGUUAGCCCUGGGCAAGACCAGCUACGUCAUUUGCAGGCCUGGUGCGACAUGAAACUGCAGGGCUCCUUGUUGGAAAAUGGUGAAGCAUUUUGAGACAGUGACAGCAAGUCAGUAAACUGAGUGCUUGGCCCUUCGGAGGCCGGGCUUGGGGGAUUGUACUGGCCACACACCCAGGGAGCCGGCCCUGACAGGCUGUCCUUGAAGUUUUCAGACCUCUCCUUGUGCAACCUGCCAUCUGGGCCUCCUCUCUCUCUCUCUCUCUCUCUCUCUCUCUCUCUCUCUCUCUCUCUCUGUCUCUCUCUCACUGCACUAUUAAAUCGGUCCCCAAGGCUGACUCUGACCCCUGGAGACCUUGCAAACACACUCAUUCUCCCCUCUCCUUCUGCAGAUGCUUCUUACCUCCACUUACUCUCUGCCACACCCACGCUGCUCUCGGCAGCCACGCUUGCUCCCUGGAGAGGUCCUGCCCUGCCACCAUGGAUGAGCCUUGGGAGGCUUCCCGUUGUUCUCGGUGGAAGGCCAAAGUCAAGAACACAGACCUCCACACCUGAUCCUUUCUGUCCUAUUUCCUCUGGUAUCUUCAGCUCAUGCCUCACUCUCAGCGGCCCUGGGCAUUUCAGUCAUCCUGGCCUUCACCGGGACCUUCUCCUGCGUAGUUCCUCCAUCAGGACGCUCCGAGCCUUCUCACGGGCUGCCCCGCUGGCCUUUCUGUCUUCACCCCGCUCCUCCUAGUACACUGCCUAGUCUCGGCGUGAGUAUGAUGUUCUCGGGAAUCUCCCUGCCUCCCUGUCCAGAACAGGUCCCCUGGCUACCCACUCCCCGGCAUUCUCUUUGCUCAUCCAUACAACUCCUUACACUUGCCCAGUACAUUUCCUGUCCAUGAAGUUGGGGUCCCAGGGUGCCUGUUGCACCACACGGCAGGGAUUUAUUGAGGGAUGUGUUGUUUGGUUCAAGGCUCUGGCAAAUUCAGCAUCCCAGAGAGAAAGAACUAUUGUCACUUAGUAACAACGGAGCUGUUUUUGCUGCUGCUGCGUAAAAGGCUACAGAACACAGAAUGUUCCGGCAGCUAGCAGCUCUGGUGGAUGACGAUGUAGCCCAUCUGAACGGGUACCACUCCCUGAAGGUGUCCAUUGGGGGCGUCGCCAUCCAGCUUGCUUUAAAAGAUACCAUUCUGGGAUUAUGUGUGGUUUUUAAAAUUCCGUCUCUAUUUUUCUAGGUUGUGGCAAUAUGCACAUAUUGCUUUGAUAACCGCGAUGAACCACCCCCUCCCCAGCAAAUUUGCUUAAAAAAAGAAAAAAAAAAAAAAGGACCAGGCCAGAGGACUCUUCUAUAGGGGUUCAUUUUCUUUGCAAAUGCGUUUCCUCUGUCUGGAAAGGGGAAGCGUGUCCCCUCCUCCGCUCUACGCCGCAGAAGUACCGUGUCAACGGUGACAAUUAAUAUUCUUAUAAACAUUUAUGUAAAAGUAAGGGUACAAAUGUAACUCAAUGCCAAGCCAUGAGUGCUGCUGGCCGCCAGGGACGGUGCUUGCUGCUCCUGAGGCCCUGGGCCAUGGCAAAGGUGAGGGCACUGCCUUCCCUCCAAGAGCAGUGGUUUCUAGCCUCCCUGGAUUAUCUGUCCUCAAACACUGUCUUCCUUCUGUUACAUUUGUCUUCUGCUACUUAGGCAAGAAAGGAAAAGAAAUAAAAUCUAAGAAAAGUCUGCGGGAUAGACUAGGUGGGGAUCAGAAUGUGUAGUAAGGCUGAAAGGUUAGAUGAACAGGACGUGGUUCCUACCAGUGCGGGAUGGGAUGACCCACCGUCCCUGCUGGCCUGGCACUGAUGACUUAACACUGAGAUGGUUCCGGACAAACCAGGUAGACAGAUGCCUUGGGGACAGCAGACAUAGCUCCAAGCAGUGCCUGUCCUGGGCCUGGUCCCUGUGGGCCCCUGCGUGAGGCCACACCGUGCAGCCGCUCCUGUCUCUCCCCUCCCCGUGAGGAGUUCACAGUAUCGCCAUUUUCCAGGGUAGUUUUGAGAAUCGACUCUGGCCUGAAACUGGGAACCCAGACCAUAAUUUUAUCUUUAGCAUGUCACUCAGUUUCUCAUUUUCUAGAAUGAAACCUCCUUGACUUUGGUUUUAAAAAGAUUUGUGAUUAAAGAGAAAACAGGAUCCUGGAAUGAACUUUGAUUUUGAUACAUUUGAGCUGUCAAAAUUGUUCCCUAUAAGUUGCACCCAAUGCAAAUUUCAGUUCCUAAAAAACCCAAAUAAGGGAAUAAAUGUUAAGGACAGGAGGUUUGAUUUGUCUCUUCCUAAACUGAUGACCUGGUAGGAACAUUGCUGAUUGAGGAAAAACGUGUCAGCUUCCUGCUAACACAGGCACACUCAGAGCUGGCGGAUGAUUGUUCUAUUUCUGCCGCAGAGGCGGGGAGACAGGUGAGUUAGGACAGGUUGUAAGUGAGGGUUCUAAUAAAGACGUUGAGUGUGGACUGCCUCUUCAUGCACGCUGCCUCCAGUGUGGCCAGUAUCCCCGGGAGAGAUGACGUCAGCGUCCCUGCUUACAGACAGAAGCUCAGAGUGGCUGAGGAAGCUGAGAUGCUUGGAGGCUAAGACUUGCUCAGCGUUCGUGCUUCGAACACACAGAGCAGAGCUCACACCGCACCGCGGGGGCUUCUGCCCUCAGGACACAGAGCCAGCACCUGCCAGCCGCGGCGAGGCGUUCUGGGUUCCCUCAGCCUGCAGCCCAAAGCACCAUGGAAUGAUGGGACUCAAGACGUAAGGAUCUGUACCAGUCAGAGAUCUCUAGGGUUCAUGGGGCAGAAAUUGCCAGACUGAAACAAACAAAGAAAAUGUAAGUUUUCCCAAAAAAUAGGAAUUUGAAUAGAAACCUAGACAAAAGCCAAGGUUCAGUUAAACUGUGUUUGAAUUAGUGAAUGUAUCUGUAACCAGCUAUUUAUUUCAUUAAAAUCUUCCAGAAAACA